rnacentral:rRNA from 1 species
GACGAACGCUGGCGGCGUGCUUAACACAUGCAAGUCGAACGGAAAGGCCCUGCUUUUGUGGGGUGCUCGAGUGGCGAACGGGUGAGUAACACGUGAGUAACCUGCCCUUGACUUUGGGAUAACUUCAGGAAACUGGGGCUAAUACCGGAUAGGAGCUCCUGCUGCAUGGUGGGGGUUGGAAAGUUUCGGCGGUUGGGGAUGGACUCGCGGCUUAUCAGCUUGUUGGUGGGGUAGUGGCUUACCAAGGCUUUGACGGGUAGCCGGCCUGGGAGGGUGACCGGGGCAAAUGGGAAUGGGGGAGGGGCCAGAGCCCAGAGGGGGAGAAGGGGGGGGAAAAUUGGCAAAAGGGGCGGAGCGUGGAACGAAGAACGCCGGGUGGGGGAGGACGGCUUGGGGGUGGGAAACGCAUUAAGCGUGGAACGAGGGGUGGGGAAGGGAAAAGGAGAAAAAGCAACGGGUAAAUUAGGG